UCAAGUCAGCAGGAGCCAUUUAACCAUCAUAACAGUGAACAACAGCAACAAAAUAUGCACAUUUUGAGGCAGACCAGUUUGUCCAUACCAAAAAGGGCAAGACUAGGCUGAGAGCAGAUGCUAUUCCCACCAUCUUUGUGCAUCGCCCUGUGGUCAAAAGGAGGAGGGCCCCUGCACCGCGAUGCAACCCGGGACCUGUAAAUACAGAGCGCAUAGCUAAUGAUCACAGCUAUAGUGUGAAAGGUGACACAGGGCCAUGUCUUCUACUUACAUUAGUCUCAAAGAAUGAGGGAAGAAGGGAUGAGGAGACUGAGAGAAGGGAAAGUGAGGGUGAAGAAAG